rnacentral:rRNA from 1 species
CAGCUCUCCGAGUGGUAGGGAUGAUUAUUUGGCCUAAAGCGUCCGUAGCCGGCCGUGUAAGUCUCCCGUUAAAUCCAGCGUCUCAAGCGUUGGACUGCGGGAGAUACUGUACGGCUAGAGAGUGGGAGAGGUCAGCGGUAUUCUGGGGGUAGGGGCGAAAUCCUUUGAUCCCCGGAGGACCACCAGUGGCGAAGGCUGCUGACUAGAACACGUCUGACGGUCAGGGACGAAAGCUGGGGUAGCGAACCGGAUUAGAGACCCGAGUAGUCC